GGAGUCUCUGUCCUUGGAGGUUUUUAAGACCCAGCCUUGGCUGGGAUGAUGUAGUUGGGGUUGGACUAGACGUGACCUCCCGAGGUCCCCUCCGGCCCUCCUGUGAUUCGGAGUGGGGAGGGCAAGGGCAAGGGCAAGGGAAGGAGAAGCGGAGAGAGCGGGUGCAGCAGGGCAGUGGCAGGAGGAGGAAAGGGGAGCGGUGAUUCUCAGCCGGGGCACCCAGAGAUCCUUUCAGGGGUGAUGCCGCAUCAGCAUAGCCCAGCGUGAUUCAUAAGAGAAACCUGGGGAGAUUUCCAACAGAAAUCCCCAGUUGUGGCUUGCCACAGGGCUGCACCUCUGGGAUCUUUCCCAUUUUCUGCAAGUGGGAAAGAAGGGCUGGUGUUUGCUGAGGGGGCUGCGAGUCCAUCCAGGGGGGCCUCGAGUCCACAGAAAGUUGAGGACCACUGAAGUAGAGAGAAAGUCACAGGAGUGGGAUGGAGGAGGCCACGAGCAAGGCAGAAUCACAGAGAAGUGGGGCUGGCAGGGACUAGUCACGUCUAAUCCAGCUCCUUGCCUGAGGAAGAAUCCGCCUGGUCCAAACCAUCCCGUGCAAUCCAGGCUCUAAACAAAACGGCCGUCAAUCCUGACACAACACAAACCCAACACCCAAGCCUGCCACUGGGAAAGUGCUUCUGUAAAGUGUUGUCAGUAUAUCCUCAAAUCCAUAUGAUGAUGAUGUGCUCCAGGGUGGGGAAGCCAGAGGGACAAGUCACUACGCACAGGACCACAGCCCCAAAGCCAGCUGUCAAGUGUGGAGAGUCAUGGCCCCAUCCCUGCCCCAAACUUGCAAGAUCAACUGAAAAAAUCAUUUAGGUUCUUAAAGUGCAAUAGGUGUGCCUUCUCCUCUUUGCCUCCUGCUUUAUGAACUCCAGGAGUUGCAUCUGCCAACUUUUCCAUGCUGUCAUAAGGCAGGAAACAUACUUUUUCGGUCCGUGAGAGCUGAGAGUCUUUUCAUCACACAACUCCAGAACCGGGGCAGGGGCAGGUUAAGAAAAAACACCAAAUAUAACAAGUACAAUAAAAUCCCAAGGGCCAGCACCAUUAGAUGCCUCAGUCCUCAAAGAUUCCAGUAAAGAUCCCAAAGCACAAAUGUACUCUCUUGAGAGAGCAAUCUAGUGCUCGGUGGCUGCAACGAGAAGGGGUUAUUUUCAUAUUUUAUUUUUUAAAAUGUUUUAAUUUUCCGUAUUCCAACCCAAAUUUGCCAAAUCAAAUUCCAAAUUUGUGAGUUAGUCCAGAAUCAUUAAAUGGCCCUGCUACCAGCAAACAUCCUCCACCUCACUCUGGGACUUUAGAUGUUUCCAAAUCCUUUGGGGUGCUUCCUACUUGCAGGCCCAAGCCUGGAGGCUUGGGGUUCAGAUGCCCCCAAUUUUUUCUUGCCUUCAGCCAGAUGGCUGUAGGAUAAAGCUAAGGAGGAGUCUCCCCUUUCCAUAAAGUGGGCAUAAAGACAAGACCUUGAUUUAUAUUAGUUUCAUAUUGAGCCAUUGGUUUUUGCUGUGAACUGGGAGAGGACCGGAUGUGAGCGUGAGAGGCACAAGUAGCUUGAAGGAGAGGGGAGCUCUGAAGAAAACCCACAGUGCCACCAGCACAGAACACAAGGCGUUCAAAUGCCAAAAGGCAGGCUUUCCCCCCAUCCCCACAAAAACCCCGCACCUAAGGAAGAUAGGCAAGCAGCCAGGCAUCCUCAGAGUUCAAAGCAAGCAAGCAGGGGGGUCUCUGAACACGAUAAGCUCUUGCAUUGAUGGUUUGGAGGAAGCAAGAUGAUUUACAGUACUGUUACAAAGAGAAUCGAUUGUUCCCCAGGUCCGCAAGGAGCAAGGAGGGGUGGAUAUUGGAUGCAAGCACAGGACUGGAUCUGCUGAAAAAGUGGUAGACUCUCCAUCCUUGGAAGCUUUCAAAAGCAGGUCAGGUAAACCCUGGGCUGGUUUAGACAGGGCUGACCCUGGACUAGAUGGGACGUCCCGAGGACCCUGCCAGUCCGACUGCUCCAGAAAGGGGACGGGCCACUGAGCUGGCACCCCGGACACCUGGGUUUUAUGCAAGAUCUAGCGGAUUGAGGUGGGGGUUGGAUGAGAUGCAAUCCGGAGGUCCCUUCCAACUCUGUGGCUAUGACUUGGACACGUCACUGCCUUUGGAGAUCUGAGCCAGUGGGUUUGCUCCUAGUCAAGAGUCAGGGAUGGAACCCAGAAGUCCCGACAGCCACCCCUUGACCUCGUCUCCUUGCUCCAAGAGUCCUUGGAUUGAAAUAAGCCUAACGAAGUGCAGACGACUUUUCAUCUGACAAUGGAUACAAUGACAGAAGAAGGGGGAGAAAGUCUGGAGGCUGCAGGGCCCUUUUCCCAGGAGAAGAGGGGAGAACUGCUCAAGGAAAGCAGCCAGCUGACGUGGGAGAUGGACCAUGACGACACCAAGACUUUAACUCUUCUCCCUCAGUGAUGAUGACCCUCAUGCCAAGAGCCCUGAGGUCAUGGCCUCUCUGUAUAAUCCAGACUGGGGUGAUGCUAUCACGGAUUAAUGGAGGCCUGUGUUACAUACUUUAUUUUCCAGCUGUUUAAGUUGGUCUAAUAAAAGAUAUCAGA